rnacentral:ncRNA from 1 species
UAUGGUUUAAAGAUUUUAAUUUAAGUUUAUUUUACAUAUAAAUUUUAGUAUGAAUUUUUAAUUAUUUUAAUAAUAAUUAUUAAUUUUUGUAGUAAUUAAUAUUAAAAAUUUAAGAAAUUAAGAUUUAGUUAUAUUUAAAUUAUUAACAAAUUUUGUGCCAGCAGUUGCGGUUAUACAAAAAAUAAUUUAAAUUUUAUCAGUAUAUAAUAAAUAAUAUUUUAAAUUAAAUUAAAUAUUAAAUUAUUAGGUGAAAUUUUAAUUUAAUUAAAAUUUAUUUAAAUUUUAUGAUUUAUUAAAUUUUAUAAAAAACUAGGAUUAGAUACCCUAUUAUUAAAAAUUAAAUUUAUAAUACUAAAAUAGUAAAUAAUAAUUUAUUGAAACUUAAAUAAUUUGGCGGUAUUUUAGUAUAUUUAGAGGAAUCUGUCCAAUAAUUGAUAAUCCACGAAUAAAUUUACUUAAUUUUUAAUUUUGUAUAUCGUUGUUAUAAAAAUAUUUUUUAAUAAUAAUAAUAUUUUAAAUUUUUUAUAUAAAAUUAAUUCAGAUCAAGAUGCAGAUUAUAAUUAAGAAUGAGAUGGAUUACAAUAAAAAUAUUUAAAUGAAUAAUAUUUUGAAAAAAAUAUUUGAAGGUGGAUUUAAAUGUAAUUUUGUUUAAUUUAAUAAAAUGAUUAAAUAUUAAAAUAUGUACAUAUUGCCCGUCGCUUUCAUUAAUAAAUUGGAAUAAGUCGUAACAAAGUAGAGGUACUGGAAAGUGUUUCUAGAAAGAA